AACAUGAGAACAUGAGAAUCCUUUUUUUUUUUUUUUUUUUUUUAAAUGUGGGAACCUUUGCUCGCAUUGCUUUGAAAGUUCCAAUUUCCUUCAAUUAUUAAAAAUAUGGCAGUUCAACUCCCAGCUUUUAAAUCAAAGUUAGACCUCAAAUUCUCUUACAGUCUGAGAGCAAAAUCUGACAAAGCCUUCAGCUGUGAUUGUCUUGGGAACCAUUCCUUAGGGUAUUGAACUGAGCACCAACAUCACUGAAGCAUAAGACAUCCCCCAUCUGUUCUCUUACAAUAUAUCCAUUUCCCCCCUUUUUCCUCUGCCCUCACCUACACCCCUAACUCCCCCAUUUCUGAAAAUAAGAUUCAGGUAACUUUUUGCUUCAUUUUAGCAAUCUCUAAUAAUAACCAGUUUUGUUUGCUCUUUGAAUUGAAAGGAAGCAUGAUACAAAAGUAGUUAUCUGAAGUUUCACCUUAAGUCGUGUUAGAAAUACAAACAAAUUAUUUGGCUCUAAAGUGAGGAAAGGCAGUGAAUUAAAUAUCUUGAAACGAGAUGACAGGUGAAGUCAUGGAGACACCAUGAAAUGCAGCACCACUGAAAGCAGGGUAAAAAAGACACUUGUUCCAGGAUAUUCUUUAAGGUGGUACAGCACAGAACGAAACAUCUUCAGGUCACAUCAGAUACUGCUCUUGCCCUUGCUGCUAGCCAGGAGGAGGACUUGCUCUCCAACAGUGUAUGGAUGCCUGGUGAGCAUCAAGUGCUGGAAGAGUGUGCAUUGAGAAAGGGUGCUAAAAUAUCUCACUACUGUCAAUACACCAUUCAUCUUUGCUUAAGCAAGCUGUGAAAAUGACUGGUGAGCUGCCUGAGUACUGUUACUCUAUAACUGAUCAUGGUUUAUUUUUACCAAAACUUUAUUAAAUCCUAAUGCUUUGCUUUUGUACAUGACUCUCCUUGACUGACCUUGAAAACAUCUUAUGAAAACAAGUAAACAUUAUUUCCUCUUACAAAGGACACACAAAUUCUAUGGCAAAGACAACACAUACCAAGCUUAAGGAUGUACAAGUUCUGUUGAGAGAAAUAGAAAGGUGAGGAAGCUGCUUUGCUCAGUUACCAGAAAACUGGUAACUGGUGCUCUCCAUCUCCAGGUGACCAUUAGGAUGAGAAACUUGUGUCACUUGCCCUUUCCUUGAGAGUUCUAGUUAACAUCCAACCUAUCUUGAAGCAAAGAAACACACAACACUAUCAAAUUAAAUAAGUUCUAAGUCACUGUAUGUUACAAAGAUGUUAACCAUGACUGAAAAAAGUAAUCUGAAUUAUUUUUCUAUUUUACCACUAAUGAUAGGUUACUAACAGCUGUAAGUUUAAACAUGCUUUGUCAAUUAAUUAUAUAUAUAUCACAGCUGACAUUUUAAUAUUUAGUAUUAUCUGUUAAUGCUUAAUAAGAAAUUAAAAAUGUGAUUUAGAUCUUGACUUCUAACUGUUUAUUCUUUAAAAAUUGACUAGGGUAACUGUUUAAUGGUUUUUCCUUUAAUUUAAUUUUAUUUGUGUGGUUAUUGGAUAACCACUUUGCCAUACUUAAUUUCAUUGCAUUGAGACAUCCUGAUUACAGUGGUGUCAUAAAUACCUCAUUUAUAUUUGGUGUUUCCAAUUUUGCCUUUCUGCCAAAAUCAGCUUUAAAUGUAAAAUAAAACCAGACUUCUUCUAUAUGACACUUAACCCUAGGUUACUACUAUUAGACAGUAUAAACACUGUUUUCUAGCUAACACCUCUAAAGCAUUUACAGAAAAUUGUUUCCUUGGCAUGCAAGUUAUUGGCCAUAAGGUUUAAAGAUUUUCUGGUCAAUUCUAAAAUUAACAAUCACCUAACAGUUAACAACACAACUCAACUGCUAGCUCAAUGUUGCCUUGCAAAAAAAAAAUUGUAAAGAAAUAUAUCUAGGCAAAACUGUUAUGCAGAACUCAAAAAAUAUGCUGCAGGUUUCAUAUUUUUUCUCUUUUUAACAAACCAUAUUUUUACAAACCACUUUUUAGCAAAUCUGUAUUCCUUCUGGAUCUCUAUGAAGUAUAUCUCCUUUUUGCAUUUUUGUGUAAUCUUCAAAGAGCUGUCAUCUGUACUACAUAUUGCUGUCAGGUUUAGAUAAACACAUCCAUUUUGCUCACUUCAACAUGUCAUGAUCUUUUAGAGACAGAUGCAGGAAAAGCAGCAUGAAGCAGUAUUGUAUGAUAUUAAUUAUAUAUAACUGAUGUACACAUUUAACCUUUCUAUUGCAGGGCAUUAUUCAAAUAAGUCUGUGCCAGCUUUAGGAAACCUUUGUCUUUUUUAGGACAUUUUGUUUUAAUUAUCCAAGACAAUAUUUUUAUACUUCCAGUAUAAUGUUUCAUUUAUUACUUUUUUUUUUUAGUGGAAAUGCAUUCUGUCUAAAAUGUAGAAGCUUAUGCAAGUGGAUAAAGUUCAGAUUGAUCAUAUGUGUAUUGGAUUUCCUGGAUUUGUGAUUACAUAUUUCUAAAAUUCCUAGAGCUAACAGGAAUUAAGAAGUUUGGCAAUUGCUCAAAAAUAGCAAAUCAGCCCUUCUGGAUGUUAGCACUGGGUUAAUACUUAUAUGGAUAAUUGAGUCUCUCAAACAGGAUGGCUGGUUGCAGAGGGAAGGCAGAAGGCUCUUAUACCAUAGCACGCAGAGGUUUAUUAGGAUCAGCAGUUGAAGAAUAAGGUCUUAGUGAAGAUCAAAACCUUAGUGGCAGCAUCUAUCAAACUGCAGAAGCCAGAAAUAAUGACGCCUGGAGCUGUUUAAAAAAUAAUUGUAUGCCGAGACAAUCCAGCAGAAGAAAGGCUGUGACAAGACUGCCAGCCCUUGUUGGGAGCAUGAGAGCAUAGUCACAGGCAGAAUGCCUCUGACAGCCCAGCAAGUGGCACUUGUAUGGUCCUACCUCAGGUAAUACAACUGCAUGUCACACUGCAUUCCCUGCUGGCAACCACGGAGUACAUCUGAGACAUGCUUGUACUUCUGUAUCUGUUUCAUUGACCGCACUUGAAUCAAUGACAAGGCUCUGUCACAGCCCACCAGCAUGGUGUUUUCACACCACAAAGCUGAACCUUCACCUUCUGCACUGCCAUGUGUUGAUUUCAUGCUGCACAGUAUUUGAAAGGGCAAGGCCCACUGGGUCUGAAUGGUCGCCUCAGACGGAGGAAGGAAAAACACAUGGUCUGCACACACACACAGCUUCCCUCAGGACUAGGCCUUGGGCUGAGUUUCCUUGUCAGUUGUGCCAAGGAACCACUUGUCCUGCCAUCUAUCACAACCUGGGGUGAGAUCGACCCACUCAUGGACAGGGCUUUUGGCCUAGAUGUCAGAGUCCAGGCUGUUAGGGUGCCUCCAGCCCUGACUGUCCCUUUCCAGCCGCCAGGGUACUCCCCCACAGCCCUGAGCCCCAUUUCAAAGCAGGAGGCAGGUCUUCUCCGCACAGCUCAGUGACAGAGGGACACUGGCAGGUUCUACUUUUUUGGUGGCCCUCACUCCUGCUCUACAACUCCUAUUCACAUCUAGCAAAUCCAGUUCUGUCCUUGAACUGGCACCUGAAUGCUCUGGAAGAAAAGUAUUGAUGGAGAUCAAGAGCCAAUGAGAGAGUCACUGACAUUCAGAGAUGCAGUGAUGAAACUUCCCACAAAAAAUUAGAGUCAUCUCCUCAGCUUUCAAGAUGUUUGAGUAAUCCAGCCUGAUCGUCCAGCCUUGACCUAAUAAACGUAUCUAUUUUUGUGCUAACAAACACCCUGAGCACUACUAGCUUAUUAAUUCUGGAAGAAGCAAUGGAUAUUUACAUUUACUAAGUAGGAAAAUUACUAUCAUUUUCCAGUUUUAAUAUACGUCUUUUAUUUAAUUUAGGCACAAUCACAGAAAAAUAUAGAUUGGAAGGACUCUCUGGAUGUUAUGUAAUUAAACCCCUGCUCACAGUGGGAUUAGAUCAAAAUUAGAUCUGUCUGCUCUGGGCCUUUUCUAGUUAAGAUUUGAGAAUUUCUAAGGAUGGAAAUUUCACAAUAUCUUCAUGGAACUUAUUCCUGUGUUUAACCCUCUCUUUGUAAGAUUUCUUUUUUUGGAGUUCUGAAGUACAUGUACAUCUUCAAUAAUUUCGUAAAGUAAAGGAAAAAAAGAAAAAAAGAAAAAAGAUAAAACAAGGCAAAAAUAUUAAUUUAAAAUAAGUCGUAUUUUAGUUAUAUUUUCUUACUGUUCCUUUCUGAAUGACAGGAAAAACAAAUAAAUCCCAAGAAGAACAAACACAAAGCUCACAAAUUAAAUGUUUUUAUUCAGUUCCAGCAGGCAUUUUAUUUGACUGGGGAAAAAAAAAAUGUUUAUUUUUUCCCAUAAGAAGAAAAUGAAAUUUUAUUGUAUCAAGCAAUAUUAAAAAUCAGUUAUUUACACAGUCUUCUAGACUAUUUUAAUACUAUUCAUACUGCUCACAGAACAUUUUUGCAUUUCCUUGUGUGCCCAGGAUUUUAUUGUGGGUUUAUUAGUCCAUUAGUCCUAUUAAUAAAGUAUGAGUAUUUUAUGAGUGUUCAUUUUGUGAAUACUACAGAUUUGUAGUUCAGAAUUACUGAACUGCUUCAGGGGGCAACAGAAUCAGCAACAUUCUGUCACUUUCAUUUUGUAAUAGUAAGAAAAAGAAUUAUUAUAUCAAAGAUUUGAAACAAUUCUCAAAUAAAUAGUGAGAAUACAGCUGACAAUGGUGUUCAAUAAGUCAGGGACUGCACAUAUGUUGAAAGACAAAUAGAAUUCAAAAUGAUCUUGGCAAACUAGAAAAAUAGUCUUAAAUCACUAUGAUAUUUAAGAAAGUCAAGUGGAAGAUUCAUUAAUAUAGUCUAGUACAGGAAUACAGAAUGGGAGCAACUGGUGAGCUAGCAGUUUUGUAAAUGAAAUAUUUAGAUAUUACAGUGGCCAAGACAAUGAAUAGACCCAGUGAUAUUGUUCUCUAGAGCUACAGAUGAACAACAGCCAGUAGCAUGUAAAGGGAGUGAUAGCCUGUAUGACAUAAAAUUGUUUUUCCUCCCUUUUAAAAACUGUUUUUUGACUUGGAGUUUGUGCAAGCCUGGGGCUCUGAUCUUCAUGAAAGAUGAGGAGGAGUUGCUGAAAAGGAUUUGUCUGAAGCAAGACAUGAAAAUACACUUCAGAUCUAUGAAAGACUGCUGAUGAAAGGAAGUGAGCAAACCGUUCUCCACAUUGGAGUUAAAACAGGCCUAAAAUUUCUAGAAAGUUUCUAGAAAGUAAAAUUUCUAGAAAAACCUUUCUAGAAAGUUAUCUUAUUUUGGCAAGAUUUUCCAGAUGGUUUAUUAGAACCUGUUAUAUACUUUCAUCAUAAUAGAAACAUCACAGUAUUUUAAUGUCUGAAAUAAAAUCGCUAUUUGUUUCCAGGGUCUUUUGAUUUGGGAUGGUAUGCCAUUUCACUCUUAAGGAGAUUAAGAGCACUCUGAUUAAUUUUUAUUAGCAAUAAAGACUCAAAGUAAAUGUCAGACUAUGUAAAUAAACAUGUUUUGUCUAUUCUACACAAGGUAAUUUUGCAAACUUCAAGAUGAUACAGAAUUAAAUUAUUCCUUUAUGAAAUUUACUGGUUUUCAGCUUCAGGAUUCUGAUUUACUGUACUUCCAGUCUCUUCUAAUUCUGAAAUUAUUUUAAAUACAUUUAUAUUUAAUCACAUGCAUGCAUAUGUGUAUUUUAAGGUUCAAAGAAGUGCUUAAUUCACAAACUACUGAAAACCAUAAUUCUUUCUAAUUCUAACUACAGGUAGUUGUGGCUUAAACUUGUAAGAGUGAUAUUAACACAUCCACCUAUUAUACUUAUUUAUUGGAAGCUCUAGCAAAUAUUGAUGCUGGAAAAUGGCAUGGAGGUGACAGUGGGAUCUGCAGGAAAGAUCGACUACCUUCUAGAGAUUUCUGAUGGUCUUUGAUAAGAGCCUUGCAAUCUAUACUUGAAGGCUGCUGCUCUAUUCACUGGAGCUGUUGUGUGCUACAUCUAAUCAAGCAGUGAGUCAGUGGCAUGAGGUUAGUGGAAUACUAACUCUUGGAUAUUAUUGCUAUAUUCAUUCAGCUUCUUUGUUGAGAUGUGAGUCAUCAUAUUCACAGAUUGUGGCAUCUUACAAAUUUUUUUUGCUAAUUUUUUGCUCUCAUUGCUAAUUCUUCAAGGGAAAUUUGCCCAAUACUUGUGAUUUUUUUUUUUAAUAUUUUAUUAUUAUUAUUAUUAUUGUUAGAGGGCUGUAAUACACUAUAAGGACUCCAAAGGAAGAAAAAAAAAAAUGCAGCUGCCUCCUAAAACAAAAACAUGAUUUUGCAAGAAGCACUACCAUGACAACAGCAUUGUUGGAACCACUUGCAUCCAAACAAUAGAACAGGGAAAAAGAAAACGAUCUUCCCAACCCUUACCUGAUCUCUAAAGAAGAUUAAAAAUCAACAGUCAUUGAUAGUGUGCAGGGUUGGUAAGAAUUCUGCCAAAAAUCUACUCAGUCAACAUUAUAAGAGCACUUCUUUCUUGUAGUGACAUUUAUAGCAAUUCCACGAAUUCAGAGGAAAACAGUUUAAAUGAAAAUGGUUUUCCAUAGCCUCCCAAAUAAACACCUAGUAAAUGGAAGGCUGGAGACAGAGUUGUGACUGACAGACUUCUUAUUGCUAAAUAAUCAAUUUAGCAUCAUCUUCUCACCCGAGGGAAAACGUUAAUGAACAGUUCUAAUAACAAAACUUUCUAUGUGGCCCAUAUGAAUUGGAAUCUCAAAUUAGUUGUAUGGAACCCACACAGAACGCAAAACUGACUUAUUCUUCACAGAAAUGUUCCAUUAAGAGAGAAAAUUUUGUUAUAGUGGCAGUUUCUGAUUUUGAGUUUAAAUACAAUGAAUAAAUCCAGAAUAAGCUUACUGACAUAGGACCAUGACAGUUGUCAUGGAAAUAAUAAAAAGUAGAUUAGGAAAAUAAAAUAGGAUACAAAUCUUGUACUCCUAAUAUAAGAGACAAUAGAUACAGCUCUUCCUCCCUGUUCUUGACUGUAAUGUGUUAGUGGAAAUGCCGUGAGCAUGAAAUAUGAUCAGUUAAAAGAAAUGAAAUAAAAGAAACCAAAGCCUGAUAGGCAUAAAUUUCUGUUCUUCAAGGAAAGAGAAAAGCUGAUAAUUUAGAGAAGAAAGUGAAAAUGACAAUAUCAAAAGUGCUAUCAAAUGUACAAAUGAAUAACCCAAAAAUAUAAAAGUGAUUUUUUUUUUCCCAUGGUCGUUAUUCAGGUAUAGUAAUUUCACAGGUUUUGUGUUGUCUUAGUCAUUGUCAUUGUUUUGCUUGUUUGGUUUUGUAAUAGCAGGAUACAUCCUCAUGUCACUGGUACUCAGCUGUUUUCCCAUAGGGUGAAUAAAAGCACAGUGCUUUCCUUUUGGGAAGCAUAUCACACAUUGCAGUGUGGAACAACCUGUUUUGUAAACAAGGUUGUUGUUCCUUUCCUUUUCCACCCUUGCUUCCAUAAGAUGGAAAGUAGCUGGUACUUGGAUAUCACUCUGCAGUCCAUCACCUCUUUCAUCUUCUCUAUAAUCGAGGCAGGGUUCAACUUGAUCCAUCUAAUACACUUAUAGCCUUAGUUUAUGCUCUCUGUAUAAGCAGGUCAAGAAAGCUUGAUAAUCACCAGAAAAGCAAUUAAAAACUCUCUUAAAUAUCUGACAUAGUAUAUGCUGAAGGGCUCUGAAGAAACUCACCUCUGGUUUUGAUGAUAGAGAACUCUCUCAGGUAGAGCAUUGAAUCACUAGAAGGAUAGGUGACUCAGGUGAAAAGAACUCUGCUUUAAAAACUUUCUCUUUAUUUGCAUGUGAAAGUAACAUCCU